rnacentral:rRNA from 12 species
CUGGUUAGUGCUGGGAUGGGAGACCACCUUGGAAUACCAG